GAUUUCCCCUUCCCGCUUUGAAGGUUCACUGAAAAAUCAACUCAGAUAAGUUAGAUUAAUUGGAGAUAAGGCACACAAAUGUUAGUCACAGGUACCUGGAGCCUUCAGAAUGAAGACCCUAGUCUACAGGGGAAACUGUCCAUUUUUAUGUUUAAAUUUAGCCAAGUAUGGACAGCCGUGUAGAAAUAUGAUUGGACAAAAGGGGAUUGAUCAAAUGCUAACAGAUGCAGUGGGGAAAUCCAGCAGCGCCUGUCUGUCUAGAUUCCUCUUGCCGUCUCUGAACAGCCUGUCUGUCCAGAUUCUUCUUGCCCUUUCUGAACAGCGUUCCUUCCUUCUGAGUAUGGGACAGGACCCCCUCUGGAAUGGGGAUCUUAUGACCUACAAGCCAAACAAGAAUAAAAUCAAAUGAGGACCUGGAGGGCCUUUGAUCACAGAGUUGGAGACAGUCCCCCAGGGGAUGGCAGAUGAAGAUGAAGGAACUACAGUCCCAGAAUGUUUUCAAUGAGAACUGCCUCCUCAGCUUGGGGCUUCUUACCUUUAGAUUCUUAUGUGAAAAAAAAAAAAAGAAAUGUCCA